AGUGAACGCUGGCGGUAGGCCUAACACAUGCAAGUCGAACGGCAGCACAGUAAGAGCUUGCUCUUACGGGUGGCGAGUGGCGGACGGGUGAGGAAUACAUCGGAACCUACUUUUUCGUGGGGGAUAACGUAGGGAAACUUACGCUAAUACCGCAUACGACCUACGGGUGAAAGCAGGGGAUCUUCGGACCUUGCGCGAUUGAAUGAGCCGCUGUCGGAUUAGCUAGUUGGCGGGGUAAUGGCCCACCAAGGCGACGAUCCGUAGCUGGUCUGAGAGGAUGGUAGGCGACACGAGAACUGAGACACGGUCCAGACUCCUACGGGAGGCAGCAGUGGGGAAUAUUGGACAAUGGGCGGAAGCCUGAUCCAGCCAUACCGCGUGGGUGAAGGAGGCCUUCGGGUUGUAAAGCCCUUUUGUUGGGAAAGAAAAGCAGCAGGCUAAUACCCCGCUGUUCUGACGGUACCCAAAGAAGAAGCACCGGCUAACUUCGUG
rnacentral:rRNA from 1 species